rnacentral:rRNA from 1 species
UGGAAACUNUCUGACUUGAGUGCAGAAGGGGAGAGUGGAAUNCCAUGUGUAGCGGUGAAAUGCGUAGAUAUAUGGAGGAACACCAGUGGCGAAAGCGGCUCUCUGGUCUGUCACUGACGCUGAGGCUNGAAAGCGUGGGUAGCGAACAGGAUUAGAUACCCUGGUAGUNCACGCCGUAAACGAUGAGUGCUAGGUGUUAGGCCCUUUCCGGGGCUUAGUGCCGGAGCUAACGCAAUAAGCACUCCGCCUGGGGAGUACGACCGCAAGGUUGAAACUCAAAGGAAUUGACGGAGGCCCGCACAAGCGGUGGAGCAUGUGGUUUAAUUCGAAGCAACGCGAAGAACCUUACCAGGUCUUGACAUCCCGAUGCUAUUCUUAGAGAUAGGAAGUUACUUCGGUACAUCGGAGACAGGUGGUGCAUGGUUGUCGUCAGCUCGUGUCGUGAGAUGUUGGGUUAAGUCCCGCAACGAGCGCAACCCUUAUUGUUAGUUGCCAUCAUUAAGUUGGGCACUCUAGCGAGACUGCCGGUAAUAAACCGGAGGAAGGUGGGGAUGACGUCAAAUCAUCAUGCCCCUUAUGACCUGGGCUACACACGUGCUACAAUGGUCGGUACAACGAGUUGCGAGCCGGUGACGGCAAGCUAAUCUCUGAAAGCCGAUCUCAGUUCGGAUUGGAGGCUGCAACUCGCCUCCAUGAAGUCGGAAUCGCUAGUAAUCGCGGAUCAGCACGCCGCGGUGAAUACGUUCCCGGGCCUUGUACACACCGCCCGUCACACCACGAGAGUUUGUAACACCCGAAGUCGGUGAGGUAACCUUUUAGGGGCCAGCCGCC